UGUGUGUGUGAAGUGAUGUGACAAGUGAAAGUGGAGUAGCAUGAAAACAAAAUCCUCAGGUGUUCACGCGUCAAAAAAACUAAUAUACAUUUGUGUGCAUUUGUAAGUGCUUGAGCUCUGAUGACAGUGCUCAGCCUCAACACUCAUAUGUCAAUCAAGGCUUGAUUGAUUUUGAAAUCAAAAGAAAAAUAAUUAUGGAUUUCAGUUGAAGCUUAAAUGUUCAUAUGCAAUUGUGUAUGCAUGCAUAUAUAACUGCACAUAAAAUAAGAGUUUAACAGUCAACGCUGCAAAAUAUUCUUGCCACAGUGCCAUUAGUAUCCAUUUAUUUCCAACGAGAAGCCAUAAUAAAAUUCAUAACCACUCGCCAUGCAUUAACCAUAAAAUAUUAUUAAAGAGCCAAGCUUUAAAAAUAUAUACACAACUACAUGUGUGUGUGUGUGUGUGUGGGUGAUUGUGUAUAUGCAACAGCAACUGUAUAAUUGACAGCGGAAUACGAAACGUGUCAUUGUGCUAAUUGUAUUUCUUCGAUUUUUGCCGGCUGCAUAACGGGAAAUCAAUGCAUCAGUCCACGUGCUGUAUUCAAAUAUCCUAACAUACAUAUAUGUACGUGUUUGGACACGUGUUUGUGCAUGUGCAUGUGUGUGUGUGAACAGUGCAUGCAAUGCAGCAAGGAUGCGGCAACUACUCGGUCAUGCUCGGCGUUGUCCAUGACCCUCAACGUAAGCUACACGGGCGUUUGCCGCUGUAUUUGAGCUUUUGCUGCUGCCUCUCUUCGAAUACUUCCUGCUUUCCUCAAAGCCCAUGCAACCACCUUGACAACAAGUGUCCUCCAAAAACUUCCGGCUGAUAUACAAGUAUAAAUAAAACGCGCAGAGAAAGUAUAUACCGUGAUAAGUGCAACAGCAACAAUAAAAAGUCAUAGAAAAAUUCAACAAAAAUUAUUUUUCACAAAAAGAAACGCAGAAAAACUUAGUAAAGCAAUGUCAAAUUGGCAAGCGAUUGCAUCGAGCAGAGAGUAGUAAUUGCAUUUUGUGUGGCGCGCAGCAGGAAUUGAACAAUUGCCAGCCACAACAGCAGCAGCAUCAACAACAGCGCCGCCAAUUGAGUGCAAAUUGCGUGCCAACAACACGCUGCACACGACAACCAGCCAUCAUUUGCAGUUUUAACGGCAUAAUUUGAAAAACAUACUGCUGGUGAGGAGCAUAAGCAACAGACUGAUUUAAAAGGCGCUUCCUUGCGCUUUCACCAACCCAAAGAGAAGAGCUUUACUGCACACAAAUACACACACAUUCCAGUCGCUGAUUAUUUUCUUAAGUAGCUCAUACUAAAUAUAAAUAUGGUGCAUGCACCGGCACGUAAAAAUAAUAAAAACUCAAAUGGCAAUUGUGAUUUGGUGGAGGAUGUACUGACACCGGUGCCACCAGAUGGCGGCUGGGGUUGGAUGGUCGUCUUCGGAUCGUUUAUGAUACACA